UACGGAGGGAGCUAGCGUUGUUCGGAUAUACUGGGCGUAAAGCGCACGUAGGCGGCGCCGUAAGUCAGGGGUGAAAUCCCGGAGCUCAACUCCGGAACUGCCCUUGAAACUGCAGUGCUAGAAUUCUGGAGAGGCGAGUGGAAUUCCGAGUGUAGAGGUGAAAUUCGUAGAUAUUCGGAAGAACACCAGUGGCGAAGGCGGCCCGCUGGGCAGUGGCUGACGCUGAGGCGCGACAGCGUGGGGAGCAAACAGG
rnacentral:rRNA from 1 species